CGUACACUCCUGCGGGAGGCAGCAGUGGGGAAUUUUGGACAAUGGGCGAAAGCCUGAUCCAGCCAUGCCGCGUGCAGGAUGAAGGCCUUCGGGUUGUAAACUGCUUUUGUACGGAACGAAACGGCCUUUUCUAAUAAAGAGGGCUAAUGACGGUACCGUAAGAAUAAGCACCGGCUAACUACGUGCCAGCAGCCGCGGUAAUACGUAGGGUGCAAGCGUUAAUCGGAAUUACUGGGCGUAAAGCGUGCGCAGGCGGUUAUGUAAGACAGUUGUGAAAUCCCCGGGCUCAACCUGGGAACUGCAUCUGUGACUGCAUAGCUAGAGUACGGUAGAGGGGGAUGGAAUUCCGCGUGUAGCAGUGAAAUGCGUAGAUAUGCAGAGGAACACCGAUGGCGAAGGCAAUCCCCUGGACCUGUACUGACGCUCAUGCACGAAAGCGUGGGGAGCAAACAGGAUUAGAUACCCUGGUAGUCCCAUG
rnacentral:rRNA from 1 species